GACGAACGCUGGCGGCGUGCCUAAUACAUGCAAGUCGAGCGGAAGUUGGAGAGCUUGCUCUUCAACUUUAGCGGCGGACGGGUGAGUAACACGUGGGCAACCUGCCCUGCAGAUCGGGAUAACUCCGGGAAACCGGUGCUAAUACCGAAUAGUUUUCGCCACCUCCUGGUGGCGUACGGAAAGACGGUUUCGGCUGUCACUGCAGGAUGGGCCCGCGGCGCAUUGGCUAGUUGGUGGGGUGACGGCCCACCAAGGCGACGAUGCGUAGCCGACCUGAGAGGGUGAUCGGCCACACUGGGACUGAGACACGGCCCAGACUCCUACGGGAGGCAGCAGGAGGGAAUCUUCCGCAAUGGACGAAAGUCUGACGGAGCAACGCCGCGUGAGUGACGAAGGUUUUCGGAUCGUAAAACUCUGUUGUGAGGGAAGAACAAGUACCAAUUAACUACUGGUACCUUGACGGUACCUCACCAGAAAGCCACGGCUAACUACGUGCCAGCCGCCGCCGUAAUAC
rnacentral:rRNA from 1 species